GUUAGGAAUAUUGGACAAUGGGCGCAAGCCUGAUCCAGCCAUGCCUCGUGAACGAUGAAGGCCUUCGGGUUGUAAAGUUCUUUAGCCGAUGAUUAUAAUGACUGUAGUCGGAAAAUAAGCCCCGGCUAACUUCGUGCCAGCAGCCGCGGUAAUACGAAGGGGGCGAGCGUUAUUCGGAAUCACUGGGCGUAAAGCGUGCGUAGGCGGUCUCGUAAGUUAGGAGUGAAAGCCCAGGGCUCAACCUUGGAAUUGCUCUUAAAACUGCAAGGCUAGAAUCUCGGAGAGGAUAGCGGAAUUUCCAGUGUAGCAGUGAAAUGCGUAGAUAUUGGAAGGAACACCAGUGGCGUAAGCGGCUAUCUGGACGAGUAUUGACGCUGAGGCACGAAAGCGUGGGGAUCAAACAGGAUUAGAUACCCUGGUAGUCC
rnacentral:rRNA from 1 species